AGCAGCUUGCUGUUUUGCUGACGAGUGGCGGACGGGUGAGUAAUGUCUGGGAAACUGCCUGAUGGAGGGGGAUAACUACUGGAAACGGUAGCUAAUACCGCAUAACGUCGCAAGACCAAAGAGGGGGACCUUCGGGCCUCUUGCCAUCGGAUGUGCCCAGAUGGGAUUAGCUAGUAGGUGGGGUAACGGCUCACCUAGGCGACGAUCCCUAGCUGGUCUGAGAGGAUGACCAGCCACACUGGAACUGAGACACGGUCCAGACUCCUACGGGAGGCAGCAGUGGGGAAUAUUGCACAAUGGGCGCAAGCCUGAUGCAGCCAUGCCGCGUGUAUGAAGAAGGCCUUCGGGUUGUAAAGUACUUUCAGCGGGGAGGAAGGGAGUAAAGUUAAUACCUUUGCUCAUUGACGUUACCCGCAGAAGAAGCACCGGCUAACUCCGUGCCAGCAGCCGCGGUAAUACGGAGGG
rnacentral:rRNA from 1 species